CCCUGAUGUGGUUCCUGGGCUGCUUAGCCAUCUCUCUAGUCCAUAGGAUGCCACUCUGCUCUACGACAUUGAUCAAACUGUAAUUAAGAACCUAGAAGACAGCAAGUAGCCCUGGAUAUCUCGGUUUUAGAAACUGGGAAAACCCUGCAGGAGCCCCAGACACAAGCUCUGAGAAGGAUGAACAAAAGACAAAGCUCAACAAUGAACAACAUAAUAGGAAUUUGACCUGAACAGUAAGAGAUUUGACUUUCUUGUUGCCAGGUUGGCUUAACCCCAUCUGUAAGUGUGGUCAGUAGUGAUGACAGGUACUUGAACCACUUUCUUUGAUUUCAUGACCUUUAAUAGAAAUGUAUUUCACUGUAUGUGUGUAUGUUUUCACCAAAGUCAUUUUCUCAUAUACCUGAAUGUGCAUUUGUUCCAUUAAGGAUCUUUGCUAGCCUGGUGCCCAAUUUCCCUAGUCCAUGGUUCCCUGCUCUCGGAAAUGAUGCUAGGUUGCCCUUUAUAUGCUCUGGAGAAGCAUGGAUACCUGAUGGAAGACUAGUCUAACCAUACAUCAGCAGUAUACCAAGUAGUCUGCUGGUCUGUCUUAAUAGCAGAGAGAUUAAUUGCAUCAGUCGAUCUGAUGCUAUCCUUUGCAAUUCGGACUGAGAAUGCAGAAGAUCAAUUAGUGGUAGGAGGACAAAGAGGAACCUCCAGAAAGAAGCAUAGACAGUGAAUGAAAGUUGCUGAGAAGUAUUAAUGUUCAAAGAGAAGGAUUCAGAUCAGAAGAGAGCAAAAUUGUGAUUCUGAAUGGCGGAAUCCCCCAAGUUUUCUUCGCCCCUCCACUCCUAGCUGUCCAGUAUAAGCUGACUAGGAUCCAAGAAGCAGACAUCCUAGUGGCUUCUCUGGUAGAGAAACAUGAGAGGUACAGACAGGGGACCCAUCACACAGGCUAGCACUAUGGAUUCCUAGUAUUUCACAUCUGCCGCAUGUACCUCUGCUUAUUUUAAAUAUCACCCAAAUGCAUGUGGCUUCUCCAGCUUCUAGGAUCACACUUCUUUGCAAUUAAGCGGAGGAGGGCCAUUUAGAGGCACCAGCUAUUAGGUGUAAAAUGAACUACAAACAUAUAUUGUACAACACAGGGAAUAUAGCCAAUAUUUUAUAAUAAUGAUAAAGGGUGUAUAACCUUUAAAAAUUAUGAAUCACUACACUGUGUGCCUGUAACAUAUAAUAUUGCACAUCAACUCUAUACUUCAAUGAAAAAAAUUUUAAAAAGAAUAGCUGGAGCUGGUAUCCCACUUGAUAUUUCAAAGUCCAGUAUUUUUUUGAUCCAAAGAAUGCUUAUCUGUUCUACCAGUUUGUUCUCGUUUAGCGAAUCCCUUCAACCAAUCAUCUUCUGGUUCUCUUCAUGGUAACUCAAGUUCUUUCUCUGUAUCUUCUGGCUUCUCCGCACUGUUGCUGCCUUCGGAUCCACCCGGAGACAGGACAGAGUCACCCAGGCUCAGCUAAGAUCCUGCUGUGGUGUUUACAGUUCACGACACACGAUGGGCGCAGAAAAGAAUGACGACGGAUAAAGAACAAGCAAAGAACAGCAGACUUCUUAGGACUUCCUCUAAAGUGUGAAGGCCACAUCCUUCCAUGGGGGUAGCUGGGAUGUGGGCAUAGGGACAGAAUCGGGUGGACAGGGGAGGUGACAUGGUAGACCAACAUGGGGCAGAGGGCACUCGGCAUCCAUGAACGAAAAGUGCCUUUGGUCUUGAGCUUCCUGUCUGGAGUUCAGUCGCCCCAAAGUCUUCUGAGUCCAACAAGAGACAGAUCUAGUUUCUCUCAUCUGCCACUCCUCACCUCCAGUUCAAAGCUAGCCUCCAGGAAACAUAAUCCUCUUCAGAGAUGUAGUAGGGCUUGGAAUGAAGAUGACCUUUUUCAUUGUUAUGUAGAGCUGUUUGCUUCCUCUCUAUUUUGAAUGUCCCAUUGUAGAAUAAUAUUCUUUUUGGCUUUAUCAUUACCACCAGUGGAUUACCACCACUUUAUUGAAAUCCACCAGAGUACCUUGUUUCCCCCAAAUCAAAAGCAAUCUGAUCAUGUGGUUGAAGUUAAGCUUCUAUUUGGAGAACUUGAUAAAAUGUUCAUAGUUCUAAAAUAGUGGUGUUUCCUGGCUCUCUGCUCCCAAUAACAUCUGAGUACCCUAUCAAGGUUUUUUUUUUGUUUGUUUGUUUUUGUUUUUAAAUAAAACAUGCAAGUCUACUUUCAGCUGAAGCUUUCCAUUACACAACCAGAAAAGGCUAACUCAGGGAGGUUUUUAUUUUUAUGUUAUAGAAAGCAUAAAAUGAGUCAAUCAUUUGUUUUCAUUAUAACUUUCAGGAAAAUGAAAUUCAGCCUUAUAAAAUGUUACUUCAUUUUAGACCAAAUAAAAUGGUUGUCUUUUCACACUGAUGAAUUUCCUCAACCUUUU